rnacentral:rRNA from 1 species
AUUGAACGCUGGCGGCAGGCCUAACACAUGCAAGUCGAGCGGAGCGGCGGACGGGUGAGUAAUGCCUAGGAAUCUGCCUGGUAGUGGGGGAUAACGUCAGGAAACGGGCGCUAAUACAGCAUACUAUCAGAUGAGCCUAGGUCGGAUUAGCUAGUGGGUGGGGUAAAGGCAUACAAGGGCGACGAUCCGUAACUGGUCUGAGAGGAUGAUCAGUCACACUGGAACGGAGACACGGGCCAGAUUCCUACGUGAGGCAGCAUUGGGGAAUAUUGGACAAUGGCGGAAAGCCUGCUCCAGCCAUGCCGCGUGUGUGAGGAAGGUCUUCGGAUUGUAAAGCACUUUAAGUUGGGAGGCGGUACCAACAGAAUAAGCACCGGCUAACUUCGUGCCAGCAGCCGCGGUAAUAC